rnacentral:SRP_RNA from 1 species
UAAUAUAGUUCGUGGGGCAAGUGUGCACUUCGAAUCGUGUCAGGGUCGGAAGGCAGCAGCACUAAGGAGACCGUGCAUUGUGCUUCACUUCUUUUAGUAAUUA